GAAAUGCGAUAAGUAAUGUGAAUUGCAGAAUUCAGUGAAUCAUCGAAUCUUUGAACGCACCUUGCGCUCCCUGGUAUUCCGGGGAGCAUGCCUGUUUGAGUGUCAUGGUAUCCUCAACCUUUAUAACUUUUUUGUUAUCGAAGGCUUGGACUUGGAGGUUGUGCUGGCUUCUAGUCGAGUCGGCUCCUCUUAAAUGUAUUAGCGUGAGUGUAACGGAUCGCUUCGGUGUGAUAAUUAUCUGCGCCGUGGUCGUGAAGUAACAUAAGCUUGCGCUUCUAACCGUCCUUCAGUUAGACAACUUACUUUGACAUCUGACCUCAAAUCAGGUAGGACUACCCGCUGAACUUAAGC
rnacentral:misc_RNA from 1 species